AUGUUUGAAUACGAUAAAACCAAAACUUUGUCAGACAGCACCCACAGACAGUUGGUUAACAUGCUCAUUGCCGACAUGAUUGAAGCUCAUGGAAGAACUCCUCCACAAACUGUGCAGACUAAGUAUGCUCUAGGUAUUGUCACUUUGUUUCCUAACCUGGAGGAUCCAUAUUCUAAAAACGGAUAUGAGCAUUUCUACGAUGCGUCUAGCGGCACUGGGUACCUGGCCUGGCGCUUAAAAACUGUAAA